GACGAACGCUGGCGGCGUGCUUAACACAUGCAAGUCGAACGGAAAGGCCCCCACCUUGGUGGGGGUGCUCGAGUGGCGAACGGGUGAGUAACACGUGGGUGAUCUGCCCUGUACUUCGGGAUAAGCUUGGGAAACUGGGUCUAAUACCGGAUAGGACCAUGGUUUAGUGUGUCAUGGUGGAAAAAUUAUUGUUUUGGUGCAGGAUGAGCUCGCGGCCUAUCAGCUUGUUGGUGGGGUAAUGGCCUACCAAGGCGUCGACGGGUAGCCGGCCUGAGAGGGUGGACGGCCUGAUUGUGACUGAGAUACGGCCCAGACUCCUACGGGAGGCAGCGGUGGGGAAUGUUGCACGAUGGGCGCAAGCCUGAUGCAGCGCCGCCGCGUGGGGGAUGACGGCCUUCGGGUUGUAAACUCCUUUCGUUAGGGACGAAGCCACACCUUUUUUGGGUGUGGUGACGGUACCUUUGUGAAGAAGCACCGGCUAACUACGUG
rnacentral:rRNA from 1 species